CGACUCUCGAAAGUGGCCUUCGGUCGAUGUUGGCAGCAUCUACGUCUAUCUUCUGGAAACACCAGAUGGCGUCCUCUCAGGGUCUUCUCAAGGUCACACAGACAUGGUCUAAGCGAUAGGGGAAGUGGCACCGGACCAGGAGAUAUCCUCAACAUACUUGUGUUCCUCUUCCAAGGUUGUCUUGGUGAACAAGCACACAGCAGAUAAUGUAUGAGAGCCUCCAACUAUGGAACAUGUUUCCCCGAGUGUUAUCGUGCAGAAAGAUACCGAGAGAAGGAAACACGAUGGUUGGAAGGGUGGUGCUUUUUAAAACAUUAUCACACAGCAACAAGUUUGUAUUUUGCUGGGUAUUAUUAUCAAGUGUGGGAUUUGUAGAGACUACACAGAGUUUAUCCAGUUAAGCUAGAGGAGAAAUAAAUAACAAGUUGCAUAAUUCUCUGAUUAGGACAUUUUAUAACGGUGUAAAAUCCUUAUCCAAAAUACAUAGCAAUAUAAAAUCAUGCACAUGUUUUAAGAAAACCUUCGUUCAUCCACCAUUACAAUAAUUGUGGUGGAUGGAAGCGCUUUUACUGUCGUGGAGCUGCACAAAAGGCCUAAUGUUCAAGAAUGAUGUCAAUGUGUGACGAUGAUGCCACACCUGCCAAACAUUCGACAACCAGCAAUAGGAAAAAAAUAUUCAGAUCAAAACUCUUUUUUUUUCUCAUUUUCAACAUGUUGUGUUUCAGAUGUGAUUAUUAGAUUUCUUUACAUAUCUGUCAGUAAAACUCUGUGAAAAUGAGUGUGGCCUAAAUUGCUGAGAUUUGUGCCAAAAAACUAUUUUAAUUUCCUUUGUGUAUUUUACUUAUUGCAAUGCAUGUUCAAUAGGGUUUCUCUUCAUAGGUUUGACAUGUACAUUUAUUUAGAGAUUCCAUCACUCCAUUCAUGUUGUAAUUUGUAACUGAUUUAGUAGAAUUUACAUAUUGAUAAUAAUAAAACUGGUGCAAACACUGA